UUAUUUUUGGAUAGUUAGCCUCUCAUUUGUUUCUUUGUGAUGGUAAGCAGCCUUCGUCUUCCUGUUUCUUCUUGUUUUCAAAGCCCAGAGAGACAGCUGCACCUCAGCACCUGAGGGUUUUGGCUCAAACCUGAGUUUGGCCCUUUCUUAACCCCAAACUCCUCUUAAUUUGACACCACUUUCUUUUGCUCUUUUUUUCAGCCCCAGCCUGCUGAGGAUAUGUGCUCACUUUCCUCCUAGGAACAUAUUAGAGUGUCACAGCAGAAGGGUGAAACAAGCCCAUGCAAGCUGCAGAUGAUUCAUUCUGUCUCAGAUGCUGCUCUCAACAGAUUUGGGCUUCAUCUGUUUGAUUCAGAUCAUUUUGUAUCUGAAAAAGCUUUGGGGGAAGACACAAGUGUUAUGAUGCACUAAAAGUGUAACAAAUGUGUAUUCAAAGAUUUCCUUCAACAUUCCGGUCAUUGUGUACUGUUGGCUGGAGAAGCCCUCCUCAUCCAUCUUGCCUUCUGGCUGCAGAACCUAGGAAAGCUGCAUCCCAGUCAGCCCCAUUAAUUCUCUUUACUCUUAGGAAGUGAUCUUAGUAAGUUAGCAUUUAUGAGGCUGUGUUUUUCCCAGAGUUCACAGGCAACUGUGAGCAUGUGUUCUUUCCUCACUCACUCAGUCGUUCCAGUGAAGCAGCACAGAGAAUAAACGAGAUCACACAAUGGAAAGUUUAGAAUUUCUUCUUUUAAUUUUUGCACCAUUUUUACUUUACCCGCUGCUCCUGGAAGGCAUCACAUCAUUAAAGAAAGAAUUACAGUUCACAUGAAGAAUUUAGAGAAUCAUUCCCACCAUGAUAAACCUUUCAUUUUAUUUGCCUUUAACAACAACAACAACAAAAGUAAAUAGGAUCAAACUUCUAAAAUAUUACAGGAGGUGGUUUUUUUCCUAUUGAUACAACUGAAACGCUUUCUCUUGCAGCCUUGUUCAUGUUUCACUGUAAUUAUGCACAAAACGUGAAUGAGUUAGAUAAAUUUCACAAAGUCUGUGCAUGUUGACAUCACACAACAUACAAGCAGGCAUGUGUCACACCCUGUCCUGUCUCCCCAUUUGGUUCAGCCUGUGUCUCUGUUGAUUGCUCCCACCUGCCUCUUGUUUCCCAAUCACCCAAGCUCCCAGCCCUCCUGUAUUUAAACCCCUCCAGUUCUGUGUCUCUUGUUGCCUCAUUGUUUCCAUGUCCUGUGAUCAUUAAAAACCUUUUAAGUUUUCCAGUUUGUCUGCCUGCCUGAUCCCUCCCCAGCAUUUGGAUCCUCACCUCCGCUCCACUCACCAGCGCGUCGUGACAGCAUGUUCAUACAGUACAUGCAUGUCCAUUUGAGAGCGAUUUGCUCCUCCAUAUAAAGAGGAGUCAGUUGAGAUGGUUUGGGCAUCUUGUUAGGAUGCCUCCUGGACGCCUCUCCAGGGAGGUGUUUUGGGCUUGUCCUGCUGGCAGGAUGCCCCCUGGUCGACCCAGGAAACGUUGAAGAAAGUAUCUCCGAACUGUCCCAGGAACGCCUUGAGGUCCUACUGGAGGAGCUGGUGGAAGUGGCCGGGGAGAGUCUUGGACCUUCCCAACUGGAUGUCCCUAGUUGGGAUGCUGCCUCCACGACCCGGACCCAGAUAGAUGGAAGAAGAUGAGAUUUUAAAAAAAUUCAGUGAAAUUGACCUUUAAAUCAUCUUUAUUCUGCAAGAAUGAAAGAAAAUACACCUUUUGAGUGAAGUACUCGAGGACCAGCGCUGCUGGACCCCAAAACAACAGGCUUCAGUCACAUGAGGGCCUCAGCGUGAAGUGGACUGGCCCGUGACCCGAAGAGGGACUGCGACUCCAAUACAAUGACCUCGUGAAGCACAGAGGAGAUGCUUUGUUCUCUGGAAAAACAAACGACAGGAAGAGAGGAACAUACAGACAUGUUAUCAGUGAUUUAGGGAACCUCUGGACCAAAUUACUAAUCAUCCUCGUAUUUGUGUUUAUUUGGAUCUGUAGAGCAGAACAAGGAGGGAGUAGAAACACACCCACAGGUUCCUUAUACAACUAAAAUUUAAAUUUGUACUAAUAAUUGUCCUGGUGAAACGUUCUGGAGGUUACUGAAUGGAUGGAUGAUAGCUGCACAAAUUAGAAACCAGUCUGCAGGACUUAUUGUCUACUGUCAAAUAUUUCAUUUCCUAAUUUCUUACACUGUGGCAGAGGUUUGGUAUAUUGUCUGUGAUAAAUACUGUAUUUCAGUUUUUACACAGUGUCAGGUUCACUAUAACAAACUGAAUGAGCAAGGAGUUCAGCCGUAGCGUGCAAUGUGACCCAGAUGCAGAAGAGGAUUCUAGGAACACCUGAACAGCUCGUGAAGGGAAACGGGAGCGCAUAGAUGUUCUGGGAAGAAAAUAAUGCUGACUCACUGGUCAGGAGAAGGUUGGCUGGGAGAGCUUGGAUGCUAAAUUAAAACAACGACUGAGUGGAGACUGAUUGGUUCUAGGGGUGACAAUGUGGUUGCUGCGUGGCGCACUGAGGUUGAUGGGGGAUGGAGUUCCUGUUGGCCGAUCUGCGGCUGGAGGGGUGCUGGAAAAUGUGGUUGUGACACGCAGUUUGCAAAAAAGAAUGGAAUCAAUAAAAACUGCCUCAAAGCAUUUUUGAGUCUUGAUUCUGUGUAGAAAGAUGAUAAAUGGCACCGCUAUAAAAGCUUUGUGACAGGAUACAAUGGUGCUCUGACUCACACUGAGUUCUGUGUUUGGUAUUUCGUUGUCCGUUGUGUAAUGGCUGAAUGGAAGAGCUCAUUGCAACAUGUGUUGUUUGAAGGAAAGAUUUGCUUUUUGUCACAUGUUAAAUGUUUUGGCACAGUUAGAGCAUUUUGAAAAACAAAAGGUGUUGCUUUGACCUCGAGUGCUGCUGCUUAGACCUGUGUGUUUUGGAAA